rnacentral:rRNA from 1 species
AUACGGAGGGUGCAAGCGUUACUCGGAAUCACUGGGCGUAAAGCGCGCGCAGGCGGCCUGAUAAGUUGGAUGUGAAAGCCUACGGCUCAACCGUAGAACUGCAUCCAAAACUGUCAGGCUAGAGUGUGGGAGAGGAAGAUGGAAUUAGUUGUGUAGGGGUAAAUCCGUAGAGAUAACUAGGAAUACCAAAAGCGAAGGCAAUCUUCUGGAACACUACUGACGCUGAGGCGCGAAGGCGUGGGGAGCAAACAGGAUUAGAAACCCUGGUAGUCC